CGAUUGACCUCGGAUCAGGUAGGGAUACCCGCUGAACUUAAGCA
rnacentral:rRNA from 1 species